UACGGAGGGGGCUAGCGUUGUUCGGAAUUACUGGGCGUAAAGCGCGCGUAGGCGGCCCGAUAAGUCCGCUGUGAAAGUCCAGGGCUCAACCCUGGAAAGCCGGUGGAUACUGUCGGGCUAGAGUCCGGAAGAGGCGAGUGGAAUUCCUGGUGUAGCGGUGAAAUGCGCAGAUAUCAGGAGGAACACCGGUGGCGAAGGCGGAUCUCUGGGCCAUUACUGACGCUGAGGAGCGAAAGCGUGGGGAGCGAACAGG
rnacentral:rRNA from 1 species